CACGUAGGGUGCGAGCGUUUGUCCGGAAUUAUUGGGCGUAAAGAGCUCGUAGGCGGUGUGUCGCGUCGGCCGUGAAAACCUGCAGCUUAACUGUGGGCUUGCGGUCGAUACGGGCAUCACUGGAGUUCGGCAGGGGAGACUGGAAUUCCUGGUGUAGCGGUGAAAAUGCGCAGAUAUCAGGGAGGGAAACACCCGGGUUGGGCGAAA
rnacentral:rRNA from 1 species